GCUGGGCACGGAGGCGCACGCCUGUAAUCCCAGUGGCUUGGGAGGCUGAGACAGGAGAAUUGCGAGUUCAAAGCCAGCCUCAGCAACUGCAAAGGCGCUAAGCAACUCAGUGAGAACCUGUCUCUA
rnacentral:sRNA from 1 species